rnacentral:rRNA from 1 species
CGGACGGGUGAGUAACGCGUGGAUAACCUGCCGUAUACAGGGGGAUAACACUUAGAAAUAGGUGCUAAUACCGCAUGAGCGCACAGGACCGCAUGGUCGAGUGUGAAAAACUGAGGUGGUGUAAGAUGGACCCGCGUCUGAUUAGCUAGUUGGUGAGGUAACGGCCCACCAAGGCGACGAUCAGUAGCCGGCCUGAGAGGGUGGACGGCCACAUUGGGACUGAGACACGGCCCAAACUCCUACGGAAGGCAGCAG